rnacentral:rRNA from 1 species
CAGUAGCCGCGGGAAUACGAAGGGGGCUAGCGUUGCUCGGAAUGACUGGGCGUAAAGGGCGCGUAGGCGGCGAUCAAAGUCAGGCGUGAAAUUCCUGGGCUCAACCUGGGGGCUGCGCUUGAUACUUGGUUGCUUGAGUGGGGAAGAGGGUCGUGGAAUUCCCAGUGUAGAGGUGAAAUUCGUAGAUAUUGGGAAGAACACCGGUGGCGAAGGCGGCGACCUGGUCCUUGACUGACGCUGAGGCGCGAAAGCGUAGGGAGCAAACAGGAUUAGAUACCCCUGUAGUCCCUGUCUCUUAUAC